AUGGAGGGAACGUGUCGCGAGGGAGAGAACGAAGGAGUGAGGGAACGAGGGACUCGGGGAGGGACUGAGGGAAGGAAGAGGGAAAGGGAUUUACAGGCACGACCCUCGCCAAAAGGCAUCCUUCAUUUAGUCACUCAUUCAUUCGUCCAGCCCGCCAGGUGCCAGGAGCUGCGCCAGCUGCAGAAACGCAAGGCCGCCGGGGCAGCAAAGGCCCCUCUCCGCCGAGCCAAGGCGGUCCGCCCCCAGCGGAGGGCUGCGGCGGGCAAACCCCUCCUCCCCGGCCUGGCCGGGCCAAGCCCGGGCCCCCGCUUGGGCCCCCUGGCCUCGGUUCGCGCCCCCCGGGCGCCUGCGCGGCACGGCCACGUGACGCGCCGAGGCGCCGCCCCCCGCCUCCCGCGAGUGCGGCCUCGGCCUGCGGCGGCUCCAGGUGAGCCGGGAGGUGCGGGCCUGCGGGCUGGCGGGCCGGGCCGCCGGGCGCGAGCGGCGGGCGGGGGCGGCCGCUGGGCCCCGGCGAGCCGCGCGAGGGGCGCGGGCGCGGGCCUGAGGCGAGCCCGCGGCCUGACGUGGCGGGGACGCGGCGGGCGGGACCCCCGGGCGCGGCCAGGCUGGGAGCUGGCGCUCGCCGCGGUCCGGGGCCUCCGCGCCGCUGAGGGCCGCGCUGGCCUCGCGGCCCCCGGGCCGGCCCUGUCGCCCGCCGAGUGUCCGAGCGCGGCCUCCCUGCCGCGACCAUCGGCGCUGCGCGGGCGGUCCUGCAACAGGCGGGCGGGGCGGGGCCGCCNNNNNNNNNNNNNNNNNNNUGGCCCGUGGCCUGCGAGCCUCAGUUUCCUCAGCCGCGCGCCCAGCGGAGGCCGGGGGCCGGGGGCCUGGGGCUGCCGCAGAGGGAGCCGGCGGCGCCCGUUCGCGGGGUUUCCAGAGAGAAGCGUGACAUCGCGUCGUCAGGGCGCGAUCGCUGCGUCCCGAAGCGGUUGCCGCCCUUCUGUUUCCAGUCCUGGGCGGGCGGGGGUCGCGGGGCUGCUACCGCCUCGAAGCCCGCUCCUCCCGGCGCCUCGUGCGCGGGGCCCGUGGGGCCGGGCCGGGGCCGCAGGCGCGCCCCGCCGAGCCGUUCCAGCUCUGCUUUUUGGGAGACUCCUUCCAGAGCGCGGCGGCGUGGGCGCGCACCGCAAGGCUCCCACUCUGGAAGUUAGGACCCAGUCCCUCCUCUCCUCUUCGCGAGCUGCCCCCUUUUCCUUUGUUGCAAACCUUGCUUCAUGCUGCCCAGGAUUGGGGUUCUUGAGGGUGGACACUGUUUGGGAGCCCUAG
rnacentral:lncRNA from 1 species